AUUGAACGCUGGCGGCAGGCCUAACACAUGCAAGUCGAGCGGAGCGGCGGACGGGAGAGUAAUGCCUAGGAAUCUGCCUGGUAGUGGGGGAUAACGUCCGGAAACGGGCGCUAAUACCGCAUAAUAUCAGCUGAGCCUAGGUCGGAUUGGCUAUUUGGUGGGGUAAAGGCCUACCAAGGCGACGAACCGUAACUGGUCUGAGAGGAUGAUCAGUCACACUGUAACUGAGACACUGGCCAGCCUCCUACGUGAGGCAGCAGUGGGGAAUAUUGGACAAUGGGCGAAAGCCUGAUCCAGCCAUGCCGCGGGUGUGAAGAAGGUCUUCAGAUUGUAAAGCACUUUAAGUUGGGAGGCGUUACCAACAGAAUAAGCACCGGCUAACUUCGUGCCAGCAGCCGCGGUAAUAC
rnacentral:rRNA from 1 species